rnacentral:rRNA from 1 species
CCGGCACGGGUGAGUAACGCGUAUCCAACCUGCCUUACACUCUUGGACAGCCUUCUGAAAGGGAGAUUAAUACAAGAUGGCAUCAUGAGUCCACAUGUUCACAUGAUUAAAGGUAUUCCGGUAGACGAUGGGGAUGCGUUCCAUUAGAUAGUAGGCGGGGUAACGGCCCACCUAGUCUUCGAUGGAUAGGGGUUCUGAGAGGAAGGUCCCCCACAUUGGAACUGAGACACGGUCCAA